rnacentral:rRNA from 1 species
AUUGAACGCUGGCGGCAGGCCUAACACAUGCAAGUCGAGCGGUAGAGAGGUGCUUGCAUCUCUUGAGAGCGGCGGACGGGUGAGUAAUGCCUAGGAAUCUGCCUAGUGGUGGGGGAUAACGUUCGGAAACGGACGCUAAUACCGCAUACGUCCUACGGGAGAAAGCGGGGGAUCUUCGGACCUCGCGCCAUUAGAUGAGCCUAGGUCGGAUUAGCUAGUUGGUGAGGUAAUGGCUCACCAAGGCGACGAUCCGUAACUGGUCUGAGAGGAUGAUCAGUCACACUGGAACUGAGACACGGUCCAGACUCCUACGGGAGGCAGCAGUGGGGAAUAUUGGACAAUGGGCGAAAGCCUGAUCCAGCCAUGCCGCGUGNGUGAAGAAGGUCUUCGGAUUGUAAAGCACUUUAAGUUGGGAGGAAGGGUAGGUAACCUAAUACGUUGGCUACUUUGACGUUACCGACAGAUAAGCACCGGC